rnacentral:rRNA from 1 species
UACGGGGGGGGCAAGCGUUGUUCGGAAUUAUUGGGCGUAAAGAGCUCGUAGGCGGUGUGUCACGUCGGCCGUGAAAACUUGCAGCUUAACUGUGGGCGUGCGGUCGAUACGGGCAUCACUGGAGUUCGGCAGGGGAGACUGGAAUUCCUGGUGUAGCGGUGAAAUGCGCAGAUAUCAGGAGGAACACCGGUGGCGAAGGCGCCGCUCUGGGCCGAAACUGACGCUGAGGAGCGAAAGCAUGGGUAGCAAACAGG